UGGGGAUGACGUCAAGUCAUCCAUGGCCCUUACGGCCAGGGCUACACACGUGCUACGAAUGGUCGGGUACAAAGGGUUGCCAAGCCGGCGAGGUGGAGACUAAUCCCAUAAAACCGAUCGUAGUCCGGAUCGCAGUCUGCAACUCGACUGCGUGAAGUCGGAAUCGCUAGUAAUCGUGAAUCAGAAUGUCACGGUGAAUACGUUCCCGGGCCUU
rnacentral:rRNA from 1 species